GACGAACGCUGGCGGCGUGCUUAACACAUGCAAGUCGAACGAUGAAGCCGGAGCUUGCUCUGGUGAAUUAGUGGCGAACGGGUGAGUAACACGUGAGUAACCUGCCCUUGACUCUGGGAUAACUGCGGGAAACUGUAGCUAAUACCGGAUACGACCCUCGGAGGCAUCUCCUGGGGGUGGAAAGAAUUUCGGUCAAGGAUGGACUCGCGGCCUAUCAGCUAGUUGGUGAGGUAACGGCUCACCAAGGCGACGACGGGUAGCCGGCCUGAGAGGGGGACCGGCCACACGGGGACUGAGACGCGGCCCAGACUCCUACGGGAGGCAGCAGUGGGGAAUAUUGCACAAGGGGCGCAAGCCUGAUGCAGCAACGCCGCGUGAGGGAUGACGGCCUUCGGGUUGUAAACCUCUUUUAGUAGGGAAGAAGCGAAAGUGACGGUACCUGCAGAAAAAGCACCGGCUAACUACGUGCCAGCCGCCGCAGUAA
rnacentral:rRNA from 1 species